GCCAAAGGUCUGAUGGCCCACUUUGAACGAGCUAGGGCUCCUGCACCUGCUGUCAUAUAUGCAGAUAACAACUGUUGUCGUGCUUCGUCCUUCCUGGAGAAUCUGUUCAGGGACUGGGUGCAGAAGGGCACUGUGAUCAGACUGGACAUCCGACACUGGCAGCACCGCUGGGAUGCUGUUGUCAUCAAACAGAGCCAUGCCAACUAUGGGUUGUUUAUGAGUGCCCUUGCAGGUGCAGUGCUGGCCUACAACAAGAACGAUAUGAUGCUCCUCAACUGCCCAAUCUGAAUGCCAAGGCUAACUACAGGGCAACCGUAAUGCCAAAGGUGAAACCCCACCAACGAGUGCUGUCAGAAGAACCAAUGCCAGCAGCUCCUACUCUGUCAGAAUCCCUUCCAGCUCCAGAUCGACCUCAGGUUCAGUACCAGAGCCUAUGUCAUGCAGCUGGGAAAAGGCAUGAUCAGAAGCGGAGGAUAGAUGUGGAAGAGUUUGUGAACCGGCCCAUUCAACCUAAACCCCCUGUGGUCACGUACAUCCUAUCCAGAGCGUCAAAAGCACCUGUCCUUGUAGUGGUUCCUGCAUAGCCACAGGGAUCAUCCAUGAUGCUCUGUGGGGCAUCCAGC